rnacentral:rRNA from 1 species
GAUGAACGCUGGCGGCGUGCCUAAUACAUGCAAGUCGAGCGAACGGACGAGAAGCUGGCUUCUCUGAUGUUAGCGGCGGACGGGUGAGUAACACGUGGAUAACCUACCUAUAAGGCUGGGAUAACUUCGGGAAACCGGAGCUAAUACCGGAUAAUAUUUUGAACCGCAUGGUUCAAAAGAAAAAGACGGUCUUGCUGUCACUUAUAGAUGGAUCCGCGCUGCAUUAGCUAGUUGGUAAGGUAACGGCUUACCAAGGCAACGAUGCAUAGCCGACCUGAGAGGGUGGUCGGCCACCCUGGAACGGAGACACGGUCCAGACUCCUACGGGAGGCAGCAGUCGGGAAUCUUCCGCAAUGGGCGGAAGCCUGACGGAGCAGCGCCGCGCGAGUGAUGAAGGUCUUCGGAUCGUAAAGCUCUGUUAUUAGGGAAGAACAUAUGUGUAAGUAACUGUGCACAUCUUGACGGUACCUAAUCAGAAAGCCCCGGCUAACUACGUG